rnacentral:rRNA from 1 species
AUUGAACGCUGGCGGCAGGCCUAACACAUGCAAGUCGAGCGGGGUUUUCGGACCUAGCGGCGGACGGGUGAGUAAUGCGUAGGAAGCUACCCGAUAGAGGGGGAUACCAGUUGGAAACGACUGUUAAUACCGCAUAAUGUCUACGGACCAAAGUGUGGGACCUUCGGGCCACAUGCUAUCGGAUGCGCCUACGUGGGAUUAGCUAGUUGGUGGGGUAAUGGCUCACCAAGGCGACGAUCCCUAGCUGGUUGGAGAGGAUGAUCAGCCACACUGGAACUGAGGCACGGGCCAGACUCCUACGGGAGGCAGCAGUGGGGAAUAUUGGACAAUGGGCGCAAGCCUGAUCCAGCCAUGCCGCGUGUGUGAAGAAGGCCUUCGGGUUGUAAAGCACUUUCAGCGAGGAGGAAGGGUUAGUAGUUAAUAGCUGCUAAUUUUGACGUUACUCGCAGAAGAAGCACCGGCUAACUCUGUGCCAGCCGCCGCCGUAA